rnacentral:misc_RNA from 1 species
UCUUCGUGUAAAUAAUUUUUUCAUUUCUUUUACAAAAAUAACAAUAUCUAAACUUUGAUAGUCUCUUUAUGCAUCAUAAAAUCCCAUGUCAUCACUUUGGAUUUGAAGAAAAUAUGUUGUUGCAUAUUUCUUAGGUAUAUAAGCCUCUAAAAUCCAAUAUCACUUGGAGUUAGCUCCUUUUGAAAAGUUAUUUGUAUGAGAAUUCAACAUUAUCUUAUAAGUAACAUUAAAAUCAUGAUUCCAGUGCUACUUAGG